CGAAUGUGUUGAGAUCUCUGUUGUUCAUACUAGCAGGACGGUAGAGAAGUCGAAAUUCAGAUGAGGCAGAAGAUAAAACAUUUCCACAGAGAUAGCACACACAGAGGUAGGAAGAUGAAGUCCAGGAGGUAGGCUGGUGAACUUUUGCCUCAGGCACUGCGUCAUGGAAAACUUAAGGAAGCAACUUUAUUCCAGCCAGCAUCACUCUGUUGGGUUCAUACCCAGAGAACUGAGCCCCGAACACCACAUGAGAGGGGACCCUACCACAGCCACUUUCGGAAUGCACUAAAUACUCUGCUGGCAGAUGUCCAAGCUGGCAAUUUUAUGGUCUGGCCACCAACUGCCCUGUCAGUUUUACGAGCAACUGCUUGCAAAAUAAUCAUCCCGACUGGCCCAGUUUAAAAGUUAAUUUUGUCCAGCUCAGCAGUUCAUUAGAACAGAAAAGGAAGCUUCAAAAUGGAGUUGCUCAUGUCCAGAAAUUGUAUACAAUCUUUACAAGAGCAAGCCAGAGGACCACUGGUUAAUGCAGACCCAGAACUUUAGCAGUAAUUCCAUUUAUUGACAUUGGCCAAUGUUGAUGCCAUUUGGUUCCUCCCAGUCUCCAGCUUCCCUUCUAUAAUAUGUGCAUUUUGUUAGCUUCAUAAAAAGUGCUUUGAACACUGAAAUUCAAGUCUCCUAUGGAAGGCUGAGUAAUCAUUCCCCAAGGAUAUCCAUAUCUUAAUCUCCAGGACCUGUGAAUACCUUUACCUUAUAUUGUAAAAUAAACUUUGCUGAUAAGAUUAA